rnacentral:rRNA from 1 species
GAGUUUGAUCAUGGCUCAGAUUGAACGCUGGCGGCAGGCCUAACACAUGCAAGUCGAGCGGAUGACGGGAGCUUGCUCCUUGAUUCAGCGGCGGACGGGUGAGUAAUGCCUAGGAAUCUGCCUGGUAGUGGGGGACAACGUUUCGAAAGGAACGCUAAUACCGCAUACGUCCUACGGGAGAAAGCAGGGGACCUUCGGGCCUUGCGCUAUCAGAUGAGCCUAGGUCGGAUUAGCUAGUUGGUGGGGUAAUGGCUCACCAAGGCGACGAUCCGUAACUGGUCUGAGAGGAUGAUCAGUCACACUGGAACUGAGACACGGUCCAGACUCCUACGGGAGGCAGCAGUGGGGAGUAUUGGACAAUGGGCGAAAGCCUGAUCCAGCCAUGCCGCGUGUGUGAAGAAGGUCUUCGGAUUGUAAAGCACUUUAAGUUGGGAGGAAGGGCAGUAAGUUAAUACCUUGCUGUUUUGACGUUACCGACAGAAUAAGCACCGGCUAACUCUGUGCCAGCA